AACGCGAAGAACCUUACCUACUCUUGACAUCCAUGGAAGCUGACAGAAAUGUUGGUGUGCCUUCGGGAACCAUGAGACAGGUGCUGCAUGGCUGUCGUCAGCUCGUGUCGUGAGAUGUUGGGUUAAGUCCCGUAACGAGCGCAACCCUUAUCCUUAGUUGCCAUCGGGUAAAGCUGGGAACUCUAGGGAGACUGCCGGUGACAAGCCGGAGGAAGGUGGGGACGACGUCAAGUCAUCAUGGCCCUUACGAGUAGGGCUACACGCGUGUUACAAUGGACGGUACAAAGGGCAGCGAAGCCGCGAGGUGGAGCGAAUCUUAGAAAGCCGUUCGUAGUCCGGAUUGGAGUCUGCAACUCGACUCCAUGAAGUUGGAAUCGCUAGUAAUCGUGGAUCAGAACGCCACGGUGAAUACGUUCCCGGGCCUUGUACACACCGCACUACUA
rnacentral:rRNA from 1 species